GCAAUUUUUAGACAAGGGCACAUAAAGAAUCUCAGACACUGGGGGCAGACAGAUUUGCCCAGAGAGCAUCUCUUCCUAACAGUCCCUAAGAAGAAGGAGUCUAAAUCCCCUAUCAUUCCUCCUCAACCUCAGAGCAAUCUGGAUUCAAGUACCCAGUCAUCACAUUUUAUUUUAUUUAUUUUAUUUGUGAGAAAUUUCCCAGAAACUCUCUAUUUUUUCAGUGCUCGGCCAUGACCUUCAUGUUCAUCGCAGCGCUUGGGGUGCUUCUGUUUCUAAGAGGAACCGGAGCCCAAUCUGUGACCCAGCCUGAUGCCCACAUCACUGUCCCUGAAGAAUCCCCUCUGGAGCUGAGAUGCAACUAUUCCUAUGGUGCAACUCCAUAUCUCUACUGGUACGUGCAGUACCCCAACCAAGGCCUCAAGCUUCUCCUCAGGUACUUUUCAGGGGAUACCGUGGUUCAAGGCAUCAAAGGUUUCAAGGCUGAAUUUAGUAAAACCUCCUUCCACCUGAAGAAACCCUCAGCCCAUUGGAGCGACUCAGCCAAGUACUUCUGUGCUGCGAGUGACACAGUGUCUGGGACUGACCGGAGAGCUGCACACAAACCUCCUGAGAUGUUGUAAUUUAAAAGACUCAGGGUCUCAGCCUGAGUUAUUUUCAGGAAGUCAACAUGUUCUGUAAAGAUAAACAAUGCAGAGAAUUCAGAAUCCUGGGAAGUGUUUAGUUUCUAUGGACAUCUUAGAUAAUUUUUCCUUUUGUUUUGUUUUGUUUUUCCAUUUUGCAAACGCAAGAAGUGCAGCUUUUGCUGGUUUUUGAAAUGCGGCAUUUUUAUCCUCUAGAGUCCCGAUUCUAGAGGGAAUAAAGCUAUAGGAUUUUCAACAAGCUGGAGAAGUUACUUGCUCUCAUAUCAUUUGAAAUAGU